rnacentral:lncRNA from 1 species
CUAGUGCUCAGAGAGAAAUUUAUAGCUGUUAAUGCAUACACUUGAAAAGAUAAAAGUCUUAAAUAAAUAACUUUAUACCUUACAGAACUAGAAAAAGAAGAGCAAAAUAAACCUAAAGUUAACAGAAUAAUAAUAACUAUUAAAGAAUAAAGAUUGGGGUUAAGGUAAACAAAAUAAAUAAUGGAGAAAUUAAUGAAAUCUAAAGUUGGUUAUUGAAAAAGAUCAGUAAUAUUAACAAAACUUUACCUAGACUGACAAAAACAAUGAGUCACUUAAAAUCAUAAAUGAAACUGGAGACGUAACUAACAGCCUUACACAGAAAAGGCAUUAAAAGAAAAUACUAUAAAUAAUUGUGUAUCAACAAAUUAGAAAACCAAGAAGAAAUAGACAAAUUCCUUGAAAAUCACAAAUCAUCUAAACUCACUCGAGAAGAUACAAAAUCUUAACAGUGGAGAAAUGCUAGCAAGAUGGCUGACUGGGAAGCUCCAGGAGCUCUUUCCCCCACAGAAAUCUGAUUUAACAGAAAUAUACUGACCAGACUACCUCCAUGAGAAUGCUAGAAACCAGUUAAGAAGCUGAAGCACCCAGGCCAAUGUACAACCUAGGACUUCCAGCAAAACAAGUAGCAAAAAAUUGUAGUAUUUCAUGCACCCACUUAUGCAUGCCAUAGCACUGUGCAAUUUAGAGGAAACCUGCCAUACUGUGCUCCUCCUUCAGGAUGGAAACAAAAGUUUUUGUUGUUGUUGUUGUUCUUGUUGUUUUUUGUUUGUUUUGUUUGUUUGUUUUUUCUCACCUGACUUGGAGUGCUAAUGGGUUCGGUAGGAAGCUGCUGAAAACAGAAGUGACUACCACAGUAUGUUAGAAAUGCAAUUCUGCAGGCAUAUGCCAGGGGGAACAAGAGGCCACAAAAGAUUUGAGAGUUUCUAAAAUCUAACUGGGCUGAUUGGUGAAGGUCUUUCCUUGCACAAAGCCAGUACACAAAGACUGCAAGAAGUGGUUUCUUUUUCAAAUGCACAAAUCCCAGCAAAAGUUUAUGAAGUAUACAAUGAAAUAGGAAAACACUGACCAAUCAAAAGAGCAAAAUAAAAUUUCAGAAACCAACCAUAAAGAAAUGCAGAUUUUUGAACUCCUUGAGAAAGAAUUUAAAAUAAUUAUUCAAAAGAUCUUCAAUGAGCUGAAAGAGAAUACAGAAAACUAAGUGAAGUCAGGAAAAUGAGUCAUGAACAAAAUGAGAAUAUCAACAAAUAUAUGGAAGCUAUUUUAAAAAAAAACGAAUUCUAGAGCUGAAAAAUACAACUGAACAUUACACUGGAGAAGUUCAAUAGGAGACUUGAGCAGUCAGAACAAAGUAUCAACAAAUUUGAAACAGAUCAUUU